ACAGACCCCAAUGGACCAGCAGGCUCGGCUGGGGCAAGGGCCAAGUGAGCCAGCCCUAAACAGCCCUGGUGCCCCUCACCAGCCCCCAGCCCCAAGCUCCCAAAGAGGGGCUGACUAGCAGUUCUGGGUCUAGCUGGGGGCUGGGGGCACCUGUUCCUGCCUUGGGAAACCACACCACAGGGCUCGGCUCCCUUCAAAAGACCAGGCCUGGAAGACCAGUCCCAGCACCCCCCAGGGACGGCCAGCCUUGGGAGUGAGCCAGGUCCAGGCCAGCCAACACUGCUCUGAAUGGGAAGGCAGCUGGUCUUGCCCAGAGAACUCAGCCAUGGUCAAACUUCCCAAGCAGUCCCAUCACACUGAGAGUCUGCAGAAGGCCCUGGCCCCUGGGAGAAACAUGCUGGAACGCUCCGGGGUGAGGGGAAGCGAUCUGGGCUGCUGCAGUUCAUGCUCAGACGGCUCGGCAGACUCUCACCACACUGCCUACCACGCGGGCGGCUCACCCCACUCCGUACAGUGCAAAGGGACAACAGAGCCCAGGGAGCACCAGGCGGAGCAGAGCCCAGCAGGCUCACCAAAGGAACGGUCUCGCUGCUGUCGACUUUCGGUGCUCAGGCCCCAGCCGAAGUGCCACCCAUUGGUGGAAUGACCCAUGGGGAGAUGCCAACGGGCCUCCUGGGGGGGACGGACACCCAGAGAGCACGGGGAGAAGGGGGUGCUGGUUGGUCGGAAGGCUGAAGGCAGCACCUUGCUGCCUGAUGCUCGCCUGCUCCCCCAACCUGGCUCCUUCCUGCCGACACUUUUCCCCACCUGCAAAAUGGAGCCAAUAAUGGAAGCUACGUCUCCUGGAGUCCUGGUUUAAUGAAAGGGCAUCAGGAGAGAGUCGGCAAUCACCAGUCCCAACUCUCUGUGACCGAACUUCUGAGAAGCCUGUAAGAGGGGACCUGGAGGUGACCUCUGACCCCACGCCCCCCAGCCUCCAGGCAGACCUGGGGGCCCCUGCCUUGGCCACGGGGGUAGGCAGCGGGCCCAGAGGUCACCUCUGAGUUUCCUGGGGAGGCGGCCUGAGCCCCAGACCUCAGCUCCGCAAGGACACAGCAGCGGGUGACAGGUGGGCGCCCUCUCCCCAGGCGGACGGCGGCCCCCAGGCCUUCCCCCGGUGGAGGGCGGCGCGAGCGGAACGCGGGGGUACUGACGCGCCGGAAAGGGGCCCCCGGGACCGGGAGGGAGAGGCGCAGGGCCCGACGGAGGGCGGAGGCGCGGCCGGCCCGGACCCCCGGCCGGGAGGGGUGUGUCCCUCGGGCCUCCCCACCGCAGCUGGGCCCCGUCCGCCCGGUGGGGGGGGUGGGGCGUCCCGAGGGUCCCCGAGAAGCCCGGCGAGAGGGAGCCGCCCCGGGCCGGCCGUUGGGUGCGCGGGCCGGGGCGCGUCGGGGCGCCUCCCCAGGCCGG